AUUAUUCCGGCAAGCCUCAACCCCCUCCUCCUCCUCCUCCUCUCAUAUAUAGCUAGCGUUCAGGAAAAUCCACGCCUAUGACCCUCAUCUGGUACUGGCCAAUCGCCCUUAGUGGAUAACGGCCAUUUCCCCGAGGAUGAAGAAGAAGAAGAAGAAUCUCCUCGCGCUAGACCUUUUGCUGCUGCUCGAAACGGGCUUCUACUAUCAUGCGAUGCUACCAUCCUCCUUGUCCCGCGUGUGAAGCCGUGGGUCUCAUGAGUCUACUCUGCACGAAACCCUGGCCAAUCGCCCUGUGUGGCUAGUGGCCACUGUACCUAGUGGUGGAAGAAGAAGAAGAAGAAACAGGCUGCUUCGGACGUUUCUAGUGUCUCCUUGCUCCUGCAAAGGAAUCAUUCGUACAGCAGCUCUGCUCUGCUUCGGCGAUCUCGGACGGUUCCCUUUUACCCUGCUCUGCGGCAAUUGCUGGGCAUUGCUUGUGCUCGAGGUGAGGGAGAUUGGCCAGUUCACAGUAAGGAGGAGCAAUGGCUCCUCCCAUAUGCGACCCUGAUCGCUACUGGUCGGCCUCUGUUGAUAUGCUUACAUUUCCACUAGAACAUUUUUUUUUGCAAACGGGUUAGCUAGCAUUCCCGUGGUCCUGAGGCCAACAAACUGUUCAUAUAUUGGCUCCAAGAACCCCAAGGCAUUAAUUCGCAACAUUGAAUUAGUCACCCCUGACUUCCGGGACAUCACAGAGGUCCGGCAAUACGGGAAGGACGGUAUCGUGUGUAGGUCCCGAAACCUGGCAGUUGUCCACGCUUUGUUGUCGACGCUCUGUUUUGGUGGCAUCCCCGUGCAACCCUUCGUUCCACACCAUCUCGCCUGCACGAGGGGCGUCGUGAGAGGCGUCGAGAGGCACUUUCCUGUCUCUGGCGCAGAGUCCUCUUGCUUCUCACCACAUUGAAUCGCUCAGAGAUUUGGGUUCCUGGACUCGCAGGCGGUGGCGCAGAUCCAAUGUGUCCCCAUUUGCUAUUUGUCCAAUCUCUCCUGUCACCUGUCCUGCACGUUUCGCUUGCCAAUGUCCCCCAGCCGGUUGCGCAUCCCGCGCCAGCCUCUGUCCAGGUUCUCAGCAUCUUUCAUUCGGAUGCCAAACAUGCCCCUCUCACUUAUUUGAAAGCAGAGCUUGACACUCACAUGUCUCAGUUUCCCAAUCACCUGGUCAUCGCCACGGACGCAUCUGUCUUUGAGGAACGGGCGGGAGUUGGCAUUGUCAUUCCGUAACUCGACUUGCACAGUCCCGUCCGCCUCCCUGACUACACAACUGUCUUUCACAGUGAGUUUCUAGCCAUGCUCCUUAGCGCUGGUGAGGGUUCCCAUCGCUUUCAAAAUGGCGCUCCUUCUCUCUGACUCUCUUUCUGUGAUUUCAUCCCUUGAGAGCCCUACAAGCCCCUUGCUCGCCACCUUAGUUGCUUUUGCACCUAGCCACAUCUCCCAUCUCCUUGUCACCUGGAUUCCUGGUCACCGCGGUCUCCCGCUCAACGAAGGCGCUGACACCCUGGCUAAUAUGGCACUCUCUGGGCCAAUCCUGGAUGUCCUUCCUCCAAUAGCUGACAUCGUCCGGGCGCGCUACAGACGCUUCCUUUCACUCGCGCGGCGUCGCCCUCCACGUCCUGGCUAUGAACACCUCUUAUUCCGUUGGAAUCCUGAGCACUGUGGCUGCCGUGAGUCCGAAACUUCUGUAACGCGCGCUCGGUGCCUCUCCCUCCCAUUAAACUUCCAUCUUCACCGUGCUGGCCUCGAAUCGGCACCUGCGUGCCCGCACUGCGGUCAAGACGAGACUGUCCAUCACUUUUUUCUUGAUUGCCCCUCCUACGUCACCAUUCGUCGUCGCCUUCUCGUCCCCCCCUCUUCUCUCCAUCGGUGCUCAGCUCUCCUUGACAUCUCUGCUAUCCCUUGGAGCCUCCCAUAAUGGCGUUAGAAACCACGCUGUUCUCCAUAGUAUCAUUUCAUUCAUCUCCAGGUCUUACCGAUUUUAACUCUUUUUUAACAUCUUGUUGACCGCACCUCAGUAGUCCUGGCCAAUCUCCCUAGCGGGUAAGCGCCAUCCCUCUAGAGGAGCAACAACAACAACAACAACACGUAUAGCCAGUGUUUUGAUGCCAGAGCUGACUGAUGGGUGCACAAGGUUCCUUCGUAUGUUCUUCCUUUGAAAAAAUAGACGUGUUUUAAUGCCAGAGCUGACUGAUGGGUGCACACUGUUCCUUCGUAUGUUCUUCCUUUGAAAAAAUAAACGGGUUUUGAUGCCAGAUCUGAGUGAAGGGUGCACAAUAUUCCUUCGUAUGUUCUUCCUUUGAAAAAAUAAACGUGUUUUGAUGCCAGAGUUGACUGAAGGGUGCACAAUGUUCCUUCGUAUGUUCUUCCUUUGAAAAAAUAAACGGUGAGUAUAACUGCAUAUCAGUUGCCCUGCUCCCUGUAGCAGUUUCCUUUCUCUUUGCAGUGUUUUGAUGCCAGAGCUGACUGAAGGGUGCACAAUGUUCCUUCGUAUGUUCUUCCUUUGAAAAAAUAAACGGGUUUUGAUGCCAAAGGUGAUUGGCUCAUUUUCAUCACUAUGUACA